rnacentral:rRNA from 1 species
UACGAAGGGGGCUAGCGUUGUUCGGAAUUACUGGGCGUAAAGCGCGUGUAGGCGGGUCUUUAAGUCAGGGGUGAAAUGCCAAGGCUCAACCUUGGAACUGCCUUUGAUACUGGAGAUCUUGAGUCCGGGAGAGGUGAGUGGAACUGCGAGUGUAGAGGUGAAAUUCGUAGAUAUUCGCAAGAACACCAGUGGCGAAGGCGGCUCACUGGCCCGGAACUGACGCUGAGGUGCGAAAGCGUGGGGAGCAAACAGG